AUUGAACGCUGGCGGCAGGCCUAACACAUGCAAGUCGAACGAGUGGCGGACGGGUGCGUAAUGUCUGGGAAACUGCCUGAUGGAGGGGGAUAACUACUGGCAACGGUAGCUAAUACCGCAUACCAUCAGAUGUGCCCAGAUGGGCUUAGCUAGUGGGGGGGGUAACGGCUCACCAGUGCGACGAUCCCUAGCUGGUCUGAGAGGAUGACCAGCCACACUGGAACUGAUGCACGGUCCAGACUCCUACGGGGAGCAGCAGUGGGGAAUAUUGCACAAUGGGCGCAAGCCUGAUGCAGCCAUGCCGCGUGUAUGAAGAAGGCCUUCGGGUUGUAAAGGACUUUCAGCGGGGAGGCGUUACCCGCAGAAGAAGCACCGGCUAACUCCGUGCCAGCAGCCGCGGUAAUUC
rnacentral:rRNA from 1 species